UAUCCCUCGGGAUCGUGUCCCUGGGAGGCGGAUAGGAUUCAGCACUCUAGAAUUGUCUCACCAUUUGAAUAGGUGCUGCUCAGCCCUUUUGAGUCUGUCAUCGGAAAGACCAUGGCUUUCUCGCUUUUCAUCUUUUUGGAUGGCUGCUUGUCGCAAUAUUGUCUUCUUCGCUUUAGACAACCCUGUGGUGCUUACUCUUCCUGUGAUGAAGGCAAGUGUGUUCCUGGAGAGGUUACUGAAUCUGGAGCUGCUUUUAGGGAGUUGCAGAUGGCGCAGGCCUCCCUUCCUCCUCAAGGAAGCCAAAGACACCAUCACAAUCAGGCAGCCAGGAGCCAGGGCUUCCAUAGGCCCAGCUCUGUACCUGUAGGGGGAUGGAAUCUGCUAAAAGUGUUCUGGAGUCAUUCUUGGAUAUCUGCUUGGUAUCUUCUCAAUAUCUUGACCAUCUGUGACAAUUUUAAUCCUCAUUUGAUCAUAUUUUAUGGACCAGCUGGCAUGCUGCCUUCUGAUCCUUUCAGCUGCAGAAAAGACAGGCUUACCUUGGAGAUAUUGCAAGUUUGGUUCCCGGCCACUGCAAUAAAUGUCUUACUAUGUUGACCGUGCUGGACUCGAAUUCCUGGGCUCAAGCAAUCCUUCUGCCUCAACCUUCUGAUUAUUUCGACUACGGGUGUGCGCCACCAUGCCUGGCUUAGAAAAGGACUUUAUGUUGAACCUCUUUUCUCUUACAAUCAAAUAAUAAAUUCAUUGAGUCAUACUA
rnacentral:lncRNA from 10 species